CCCAUAGCCAGUGUGUAUGGAAGGACAGACUCACACAACCACCUCACCAUCAGACUUGAGCUUUGUUAGAUCAGAGACCAGUUGUGUCCACCAAAGAUUCCUAAAUGAGACAGACCCACAACAGGGAAGGAGGGCUGACACAUGCUGACAUGAGGAAAUAUGACCUCCUCCACGUGUUUUCCAUGAGGAAUAUGUUUGUUCUGCAGCCACUGAGUUAAAAGCAAGCUUCAUUCCCUCGUGUGCAAAGAUCAAAAGUCUGUGAUCUGUGUGAACUACAAAACUUCUAUGUUCACAUGGAGUUCAACGGCAGAAGAGGAAUGGGGCCAGCUCCUCCAGCUUGAACAGCUUAAGAUUCAUUUGUAUUUGCAAGAAUGGAUAAUGGUGGAUGAGAUUUUAAAAGACUGAAUUUUUUUGUGUCAAAGAAGAUAUGUUCACCAGCAAAUUUCCACAAGGGAAAAUAAGCAAACUUCUCAAAGUGGAGACCAUAUUCUCUGUUCCAUAAAAGAGGCAGUCCACCAUGAUGUGAACAAAUGGAUCUGGAAGUCAGUGGAAGCUGGAAUCCUGUUCAACAAGUUGCUUGCUUUC